GAUGUGGGUGUUAUGUUCACUAUUAGGUGAUUGGCAGUAGGAAACUGUCUGCUUUAGUUUUCGAGAUGCUCGAUCUCUUUGGAGGGAGGUGCUGGUUUUUACAUAUUGUGUAUAUUUAUUUAUUCUGAAAAUAUUUCAAUUUGUUGGCACUGUCAAUUCUUGCAAAUGUUAUGUUCGCUAGAUGGAUAGGCGAACGCCACCAACUACUAAAAUGUAAACCAAUCAAAACUAUCCACGGUACUAUCUCUGCUGAUCAUGUUAUCCGUAUCUAAGGUAGUAGACUGAUGAUCUCCGUUCAUCAAACUGCUAUCAGAUAUCAUCCAAGUGCUAUUCACCAAGCAUGGGCUGAUUCGUUCACCUGUGAGAACCAUCCGACUGCAGUUUGAACUAACCCUGCCGUCACUAUUUAGACAUUGGGACCACAUAUUGUCUUAGUCUAGUGCAUUUUAGAAUUGAAGAACACCCAUUACAGAUACAUGUGAUUGUUUGAGCAUAUUUAUUCAUUCUCUCACUUUUGUCUCCUAUGAUCUAUUCACCAAGUYCUGCAGUUUGAACUAGCCCUGUCAUCACGAUUUACAGUGUUAGGGUGGCAGGUAGCGUAGCGGUUAAGAGCAUUGGGCUGGUUUGAAUCCCUGAGCUGACUGGAUGAAAAAUCUGUAAUGUAAAUGUCUCUCUACAUCGCUGACCAGGGUGGGAUACUUUUGAUAUGCCWAUGGUGUCUGAGCACACAAAUGCUCCUGGAGAGAAGGGGGAAUACUGAAGCAUGCAUUGAUAUGUCUCCUUCAGAGGCUCAGGCUUUUGGCAUAGAUGGUAACGCUCUCAUUACUGGACUGUAAGAUUGUGCCCUCCCCGGGCACUUGAAAUAUAUUGAUUGGUACUGUAGGUUACACUAUAUUUAGAUACUUCAAAUACCUUUGCUAUUUGUCUCCUUACUCAAUAAAAGGUGAAACACUA